UAGUUUCUAUGUAGCAGAAAUAGGAAACAAAUGAAGCAAAACUGCCCAAAGAGGGGAAAUGCCCCGAGGAUGGGUCUCACUCUCACGCGCGCGCACAGACACACACGCAGAGAGCACUCUCACGCUGGGCAAACUCGGGAUCGCGCUACCCUGCCCGAGUUGAAUGAUAGUGUUUGGUUUCUCUCUUGCCAUGUGCAUGUGUAUAAAUGCUGCGGAUUGGCAUCUGUGUAAGUCUUGUCCUGCGUUAUUUCUGCAGCCUAUGCAAAGUGUUGUGUAAUUUAUUGGAGUGCUGUAUAUUGCAAUAGAGGUUCAGGCGCUUUUUGUUGAGCACUUGCGUUUGCAAGCCCGUUAUUUGCUGAAGCCACCUCUUCGUGUCUUUUAUUACUGCCAUUGCCUUAAGCGUACAUUUUAAAAAUGUUUUUCAUUGUUAUAUGGGCAAAGCGAACUCCUGAUCUGUACUUCAGAUACUCUUUUUCCUCGUUACAAAAAGGCUAGUAAUAGCUAAUUAGGGAUUUGGGAUUAAAGAACCUUAAAGCUUUUCUAAGUGUUUACAAGAAGGAAUAAUGUAAACCUGAGCGAAAGGAAAGAACGUUAAUAUUUAUCUCUAACUGAUCUAGAGGUAAUAUACUGACAGAUCAAUAACGUACCGAAGGAUAACGAAAGAGUAUAGUACGCUUUUAGCCAAGGUGAUUGGUGAUUAAAUAAUUUAAAUUAUCUGUGUAUAUUGCAGUUGACUUCGUCAUGCUAAUUAAUGGCUUCUAAUUUGAGGUGUAAACCAUUCCUGUUUACAGUUGAUCACGGGAAGACUUCUUGGAGACUGACGAAAAGAGAAAAAAAUCAAUCUUUCAUAAAUUAGUAUGUAAUUACCGGUUUUAUAUGCUAAAUCAUACAUCUGUCUUUUGCUGAUGAGGAUAAGGGCCUUGUUUUUUAAAAAACGAAUAUGGGUGAAAUUAAUGGAAACAAUGGAAAAAGCCAUUUGUUAGGAAACAAGGACACCAAGUGAUAUUUAUCUCCAGAGGAUUUAAGCACUUUUCAAAAAGACUUGAGAGUUGAUUUUUUUUUUAAGGAUUGCAUUUUAAAGGGAACUAGGAUAGUCGUUCUUUUGUUAACAUUUAACAAAAGAGUCUCCUUAAAAAAUUUAGAUAAUAAACUGCAUUUUACGGACGUGGUCUAAAAAGGUUAUUUAUGGGGAAAGGACCAACAAGCUGCAUUGUGGUUUUCUAGAUUGCUUCCUCAACCCUUGUACCCUCCUAGCUCCUUACAUUCCUAGUGGGAAAUACUUGCUGCAACUGCCUUGGGCUGCAUUGCAAGGCUGCACCGGUGUGAUGCCUUGUACUGAAACAGCCAGAAAUCACCGUACAUGUGAGAAAGAGGAAAAAAACACCUAAACCUAUUUGGAGUAAUAGGAUGUAAAAAUUGCCUUUUAUAACAAUCUUAACCAAAUUUUUUUAAAAAGGGAAGUUACCAUGACUUGUCCUAUUGCUGUAGGGUUAUCAGAGUCAUUGUUAUUUAUUGAAAUGGCUAUCCUUCAAGUACUAAAAAUAUUUGCAUUUUUAAAGACAUUAGUUCUAUUGUAACUAUGAUAGGUAAAGUAGCUUGCUUCUAGAUGGUUAGGUUUGAAAAGAUGGACAUUUAAUAUGCCUUUUUGCAAUUCUGUUUAUUUCCGUGACACAUGCUUUCUAUUUUAUCUUAACUUUUAAAAAAGUAUCAUAUUCUUCAAAUAAUUGUGAUGUUUUUACAUUACGAUGUUCUUCAAAUAAACAGAUUUUUUAGGAACUAAACAUUAUAGUUAGAAUUUUGUGAUUUUUAAAAUGUUUGCAUUAGUCUGAUUCUUACUAAUAGAUGUUUAUCCUUGCUAAGGAAAAGAAACCAAAUUAUGACAUGGAAUAUAAUAUUACUCUGGGUAAAGUUUUCUAUAUAUAUCUUGUGAGUAGUAUGGAAAUAUGGAAAGCUAGUAUGAAUAUCUCAUGUAUGCUUUUCAUUUAGAAGCUUUUCCUAAGUAUGCUACUAGUACUUAGCUCCUAAAAAAUUUUUAAGGAAAAAUUUCCUUCUAAAUUUUCUGAAUAUGAUGUUCCUGUCAUUUUGACUAACCUUUGACAAUGUUUAUAGUUUCUUUUUCAAAGACCUAAUUUGAAGAUAGUUGUGAGCCUGCCUUUGAACUAAUUUAUAGCUAUCAGUCUGUUAUAAGAAAAUGUAGGUUACCUGCUAAAAAUUAAAACUUCUUUUCAGCCAAAUAAAUUAUUUGUUUUUAACAAUAGAUGUUAAUUUGAAUUCUACUUAGUUCUUCAAAUGUGACAAAUACUCCUUUAUAACAUUUUAAUUUCUUUAAACAUAAAACAUUUCUGGAAUCUGACAUCAUCAGUUAACUAUAGGGUUUAUUAUGUCAUGUAUUGUGCAUGUGUACACAAAAAGUCAGCACAUAUCAAAUAGGAAGAAAAUCUUACUUUGAAGUCCUAAAUUUUAGUUCCCAGGGCAGUGGCAUUCUCAGCUAACUUUUGCACAUAAGGAUAGUUCAAAUUUCAUCUAUAUCCAUUUCUAUUUGUUUAUUUUAACUUUUUCAUGGACUUCAAAAAUAAAAUGUCAAUUUUAAAAGAUUUUCAUACCUUUUUUUUUUAUAAGAAGGCUAAAAAAAUAGUAAAAGUUUGGAAAGCCAACAACUACUGUUUUUGUAUAAUACAGUGUCUAGGAGAUUACAAACUUCGUGAAAUGUAAAAGCUCCUGUGCAAUUCAUUGCUUCACUUGGCAACACAUGAAACAAGAUAAACAUUUAACAGAAAGUCUGUCUUGAUUGUGAUAAGUUACUAUUCUAAUGAAAUAAUCAAAUGCUGCCAUUCAAGUUGUUUCUGGAACAAGAUGGGAUAGUUUAUAAAUAAAAAGAUUCAACCACAUUUAUGAAAUUUAGUUUGCUCCCACUAGUAUGGUGAACUCAAAAAAACUUUACAAUUACAAUUUUUAAGAUUAUAUAUUAAAUCUUUUGUGUGUGUGAUAUUAUGCUUUUUUUUUAAUAGCAAAAGCUUUGUCCUAUAAAGUGUAGAAAUGGAAAAGUAGAAAACACUCUUCUUCAAAAACCACAUUCUUUUUUAAUCCUCAUCUGCCCUAACAACAAAAUACAAUUGUCAAAAGAGUGUUGUUUUACACACCACUUUCCUCCUUCUGGAUUGCUCCCCAAUAUUGGUUUUGUCCAUGUUGGUCUGACUUUCUCCCUCUCAACACACAUAUUCUUCUUCCUUCACAAAGCUUGAAUAUAUAUCAGAUUUGAACCAUGUAAGUAGAUAUACUAUUUGGCUGCUACAGAAAGAAUAGAGAGAACCAACUUCAGUAAGCCAACUCAUUAUUUAACACUUUGUAUUGUCUCCCUUAUAUCUCACUGAGAAACCUUUUAAUCUGUAACAAAGAUUAGCUGGUUAUCAACAAUCAUAUAAUCCCUUAACUUAUUUAAAUGUUAUUAGUAAUUUACCACUCAACUUUUUUUCCUCCAAAUUAAAUUAUUCUAGUAGCUUAGAUUUUUAAAUGUCUUAGUUUGCAUGAUAAGGAGAAAUACAUAUCUUCGUUGAAAAAAAAACAUGUAUAUAUAGACACACACAUACACACCCAUCACUUCAUGAGUUCACAGUACGGCUACAAAGAUUAAAGGAGAAAAACAAUUUUAGAACACAUUCCCCCAAGAUUUGGAGCAACACGGUGGAUGAAGUAGAAAGAGCUGUUCCGGAUGGCAGGAAACUUAAAGGAGAAGUCUGUAGGCAUGUUCUAUUAUAUGAUGAUGUCUAAUGGAUUGAGAGUGGGCUUUAUCGAACAGGGAACAGUGGAAGAAGUGAAGGUAGACUCAGGAGAAGGGAUGCAGAGACUUGAAAAGUUGCUAGUGGUGGUGUAUUAAAUAAAACAUAUAUGAUCAAUGUGAUUCUAAGAUGGAAUUUGAGGACAGAAAGUGUAGCCACUUGCAUUCAUAUGUACCUGAAUUCAUAAACUUUGAGAACCCCCAAGAAGAAAAAUUAUUUUAUUCAUGGAAAGGGAGAAGUUUGUCUGUCGAGUUAGUGAGGAACUUCUACAUAAUCAGAAUCAAGGACACCAAAGCAGACACUGUUGGUGAAGAAAGAGAAUGGUUGUUUAAAAGAAUAAGAUCUGACCACCAGAGUGCCCACAAGGCUGCCUUGAGAUUCAAAUAUGAGAAUAAGACGUACAAAAAGUAAGAUCCAACUCAAAAUUGAGAAUGAAGCCAAUUUAGAUUUAAGCUGACUUUGUAAUCAAAAAUGGUGUUUCCAUUUUCUAAAUUCCUAUAGAAAGGCAUGUCUCAUUAUACCACCUUAUUUGUAAAUUGCCUUCAUUUAUAUAUAUAUGUAUAUACGUAUACGUAUAUAUGCAUAUAUACACACAUACUUGGCAAAGAUCCCCUUGACUCAUGCAUCUGUUGCUUUAUUUCCUUCAAUGGAUAUAAUCAUACCUAUUUGUUGAAAUGGUGAUUAGCUAACUAGCCCAAAGAAUGAGUUCUGUUACACAUUUAUAAAAUUAAAAAUAAUAUUGAUACCAAGUAGAUCUUUCAAAUGAGAUGUGUGUGUUAAAAAUUUAAGAGAAAAAAGAGAACCUUUGAAUAUGAUUUUGAGAUUACACCUACAAAUUCCAUUGCAUUCAAAGUUUUCAUGCUUACAUUUGAACACGUACAAAUAAAGGUGCAUAUUAAGUGGUUAUAGUGGAAUUUUUCAUGCUUAUCCAAACUUCCAACUGACAGUGAUUUAUAGAAAAACUAAUAUAGCCUUUAAAUGGAAUCUCCUGGUAAGAACAUAUGUAUUAUUUCCUCUCAACAGUUAUUAGAAGUGUUGUCACUGAAUAUCAUUAAGAAACAUCUUUCUUAAGAAUAUUGAGUAAGUGGUAUCAUAUGAGAACGAAGAAAUAUGUUGCCUUUUUGUCUUACCAUCCUCACUUCUCUGGUUUGCACAUGUUACACUUUAUACUUGUUUUGUCAUUCAUUGUUUUGGGGUUUGGGGUAAGUGUAUGUAUAAGAGUUUCACCUUUCCCUGCUUCCUCACCUUUUCAGUUUUUUCAGCAUCUCUAUAAAAUUUUCCUUCUCUUCCAUCAUUGAAACUUUCGUUCUAAUGGUAAACCAAAUAUAGGAAUUAAGAUAUAUAAUUAAUUUGGAUAUACCCUAAAAGCUCUAAAAAUAUGAAGAUGAAUCUAUUCUUCGUUUCUUAUAGUUGAAACUGUUGCACACUAAAAUCUUCCACCUCUCUUAUUUUCAGCCUCCUGGUUAUUUUACAAAAGACUAGAGAAACAAUUUACACACCUGGUGUGAAAAGGAGGGAAGAAAAAGCCUUCCUUUACUUUUUCAUAAGGAAAGAAACAAAGUGCCAAGCAGUAAGCAUUUUCUGUUUGUGAAGUAUAUAUACAAUUUUGUGUUACAAAAUUUUUCCUAUUUCUGUAUUUUUUGCCAAAGUCAAGCUUGUGAAGUUUCCAGUCUAAUAGUGACUGAAGAGGACUGCCAUUGACUCGAAGCACUCUCUGGUGCUGCAUAACUUCACCUCUUUGAAAUAUUUAGGUCAGAAAUUCACUUCAUUUUCAGAGCCAGGUCCCAUCAUGCCCAUAAAAAUGUUCGAAAAAGAAAUCCGGGAUGAACACACAAUGGCAAAUUUCCAUGGCACAACAACGUAUCCUCAUUGCAGCAUUCUGUGCAUCAGCUGAAGAAUCAUCAUUUAAACACUGGCUUACAGCUUGACCCUCAUUGUGUACUUUUAGUCCAACACAUGGAGAUGCCCUGUUCACUAGAGGCUGACAGUAGAGAUGAGAGCUAAUCUGAAGCAGCUGAGACCCCCACUGAUGGCUACACCUGGAAAGCAGAGGUUUCUGUGAUAGUCUGGCCAAUCUCCAGAUAUUAUCAGUUAUUAAAACCUGACUUUAUUUAGCAGCAAUAACAAUUUAUUGAAUGGACUACAAGAGAUAUGAAUCAAUGGCUAUACAUACCAUUCAGAUUUUAACUACAAGGAAUUCACAUUCCUGAAAUAAAAACGAACAGCACUUAUAGACUGUUUUUGUGUUUUAACCUAAUUGCUUUUAGUAUAAAAGAUUCAUAUUUGAUGAAUACUAGCAGGAUUAAAUUCCACUGUUAUUUUUAGUAAUACAAAAUAACAUAAAAUUUUAUGAAAUAAUCAAGGGUGAUAUAGAUUAAUGUGAAAGCAUUUUUGGAAACACCUUUUGAAAUGAGUGUAUGAUUUCCAUCUUUUUUAAAAGUUUAACUAAUUUCUGACAGAUUAGUUUCAGUUCUACAAUAUAAACUAUGAAGAGAUUUGAGUCAAGAAGAUCUCAAGUCAAAAUUAGAUUGAAAAUUUACAAACCUAGGGUCAAGAAUUGCGUUGAUGCCAAAAAUCUGUAUAGUGCUGCAGGAUACAUACAUAUAUUAUCAUUCUUUAAAAAUUUGAUUCUUUUUAACUAAUGUAUUUAUGUAUCAACACAUUAAUGUUUGAAGUCUAGAAAUCAAGUCUCCUUAACUCGGGAGAAGUUUUUAAACCUCUUUGUGGUGGAAAAAUAUCAAACAUUCCAAAAAAGUAUAGAAAAUGGCAGUAUGAUCCCCAGGUACCAGAUUCCCAGCAUUCAUAAUUAUCCACAUUUGGACAAUCCUCUACUAUCUAUCCUCCAGCCACCCCCUUUCCUGCUUUAAAGUAAAUGCCAUCAUUACACCUGUAAAUAAUUUGGUAUGUAGUCUAGAAACAAAUUCUGACUAGCUUAAUUCUUUCAUUGAUUGAUUCAUUCAUUUAUUUACCACCUCAUAUUUUAAACAUUUGUAGAACAUCUACCAUAUUCUAGAUGCCAUAUUAAGCCCUGGAAAUUGAUUGGCUGGAUAUGGUCAUUUGGGACCAUUUCUAAGAAGUUCUCUUAUAACUGGAAAUGUAUGCUGUUAAGAAAUCAGAUCAUACCAUUCAACUGCUUAAACCCCAUCCAAUGAUGUAUCAUGAACUCCUGGACAACCCUUAACAUGACAUGUGUGAUCUCUCAUAAUCUAACCCCCUCAACCUGUCCACACUCACCUUUACCCACUGGACCAGGAAUACUCUAAACUCCUGUAUGAAAAUAUUUUCCCCAAUAUGCCUUUCUUUCAUUUUCUUGUACAUGCUGGUCCCUCUUUCUGGAAUCUUGAUCUCAAAAUGAGACCAAUUGUGACGCAGUUUUCAAGACACCCCCAAUCAUCACUUCUUUGAGUAACCCUGUAUACCUCUCCUCCAAGAAAACAAACCUCUAGGUGUUCAUCCUCUAUUGUAGCACAGAAAGUCUUCUGUGUGUCGCUAUUGUAGCACAGCUUUCAGGUAUAUCAUAGUUUUAUGUUGCUCUGACUAGACUAAGAAUUUUUAGGACAGGCCCUGAAUUUUGGAUUUCUGUAUCCCCAUUAUAUGCAACAAUCAGAAUAUACAACAGGUACUUAAUAAAUUCAGUGGUUUUUUUCUUGGAAUGUGUUUAUCAGAUAAACAAACUAUGGUCAUUUCUGGAGGUAUAUUAAGAUGGAUCCCAACAAUGACCCCAGUUCACCAUGACUUCACAGGGCUAGCAGAGGCCCAUGGAACCACUGAUAGUUUUCCCACUGAAAGGAAGCAAACAAAAUAGGUGCUGUAUUUAAAGAAACACCAGAAUAUCAUGUGAUAUUUGGAUAUCAGCUCUGCCCUUUCAGAAUGUUUAGUACAGUAUUACUUGAAUGUAAAAUGAAGGGAUAAAAUGGUCACUAAAAGAAGGUCACACAAUACGAAAAUAAUGACAAAAAGAAAAAAGAAAACAAAAACCUAACCUAAAGUGAAUGACUUUAGGUCAUUCCCCUCCUUGCCACUUAACUUUAACUUGUCUUUUUUAGUACAUUUUUCUUACGCAUCUUUUGUCUCCAGCUUAUAUCUUGUGCCCUAAAGAAUCAGAUGGAAAACAAACAUACAUGUAAAUAAGAUAUCAAAUAAAUGGAAUAGUGCAUCAGCAGGGCCCCUAUAGCAAAUGGAAAAGAGGGUCUGUGUUACUACAUCCAUAAUUAUGGCAAUGCCACAUGUAGGAUCACUGAAUUUUAGAGCUGGAAGGACCCUAGAGAUUAUCUAGUCCAAAUACCUUUUCAAAGAUUAAAUGAUUUAUCCAAACUCACACCCUCCUUUUCAAAUUUCAGUCAGCCUUGCAAUCUUUCUGAGGUUAUUGGUGAAAGGGUAGGAUAACUGAAUAGCGAAAAGAGAAUAAUUUAGCAUGGAGGAGUCAACAUGAUUUCUGCACUAGAAGUGAUGUUUGUUGGUUUUACUAGAGUUGUUUGAGGGGAUAAAUAAGCGUGACUAAGGAGAUUUAAAGAGAAAAUUGAUAUUUAAACUUUCAAAAAGCCUUGUGACAAGUUCCUAUAUCAGACUAUUUAAACAACCCCCAUAAGAAAUUGGCUUGGAGAGAAAUAAGGAGAAAUUUGAGAGUUAAUAUCAUUGAUAAAAAAAUCAAGUCCUAUUUCUGGCUUUUACUGAGUGUUGUUGGCAAAUUAUUUUGCCUCACUUAUCAUCAUUUUCCCACAAAUAAUAUAUGAAAAGUGAUUUCACUUAACUCACUGAGCUACUGUGAGGAUUGAAUGAGAUAAUAAUACUGUUUAUAACAAAAGCUAACCUAUAUUAAGUACAAUUUCUUAAGUAAUAACAAAUUUUAUUUCACUUAGCACUCACAAGGAAAAUACCGUUGUUAUCUUAUCACUUUAAAGAUGAGAGAACUGAGGCACAGAGUAAAGAAGUAACUUGUCCUGAGUCCUGAAGCUAAUUAUUGGUAAAGCCGGGAAUUGAACCCAGGAAGGCUGGUUCUAGAGUGCUUACUCUUAGCCAGUCUCCUGCCUCUUGUGCUAUUAGUAUGCACAAAUCCCUUUUCACGCACAGCCUAGGUACGUAAUAAGGGCUUAGUAAGUUUAGUUAUUACUAUUUUUAUACUUUAUCAGAUGGAAGAAGAAAAGGAGGCCUAAUAUUGACUGAAGACCUACUUUAAGUGUAAUGCAUUCUCUUUACAACCAGCCUGGGAGGCCAUAGAUGCCCAUAGAGGUAUCAUGGUUCAACCAGUCAGAACUGGGAUUCGGGGGGACGUUGGUCUUGUUCCAAAGCCCAUGUUCUUUUUACUACAUUCCAGCCUGUACUGUUACUUGUUAUUCCUCUUGUACCAAAAACACACUUAGGUGUAUGGGUAGGUAUGUACCCAAGAUGUAAGGCACAUAUACACAUAAAAUCAAUGUUUUAUUUGACUUACAGGUGAGUAAAUUUUAGUAAGGAAGAAACAAAGAGUAGCAAAGGAAGAAUUUAGUAAGUUUCUGAAGAGCAGACCUAAUGGCUGCUGUCCCCAGAGUCAACACUGGAGCUAGUCAAGUUUUAUUUUUAGAGCGUGAUGGGGCAUACAAAUACACAUAAAAAUUGAUUAAUUUUCAGUUGAUAGUAAGCUUUUAUGGGGAGAAAAGGGCCAAGCCAAUGAUAUCAAAUGGCAGGAUCCUAAAAUGGACUACUAGACGGGGAUCUAUUGUCAUUUUAGGUUAUUCCCUGUAAAACAUUGUCCAAAAGAGCUUUUGUACCAAACACUCAUGCAAAGUGCUGCAAGGAAGAGUAUCAGAAAGCAUUAUCCAUGGUACUGCAUGUCGGCAUUAGAAAUAUUGUGUGGUUCUAGUCGCCAUACCUCAAGGAAGACAUAAGGCCAUAAGGUUAGAAACCAUCUAAAGAAAGAUAAUUAAAAUGACAUAAAGAUACAGAAAAUUUGCUGCGAGAAAAUCGACUAAAAAUAUUAAUACCUUUGAAAACUGAAAAGGGACAUAAUAUAAUAAAGUCAGGAUGAAAAUGAGUAGUAUGAACACAAACUUAUUCAACAAUUCUAGAAUUCCAGAACCAGCAAGUACCUUGUUGCUGUUGUUAACCCCUGAAUUCUUCAGAAUGAAUCUCCCAAGUGAAAGGGAAUCUCCUGCAGGAUCACAUGUAUUAAUCGCACUUAGGAAAUUUAACAUUAGUACUAUAAUAUAGCAUAAUACACACACAUAUCCAGAUUUCUCCAAUUGUCCCAAUAAUCUUCUUUAUAGCUUGCCCGUCUUCCCUCCCUGCCUCCCUUUCUUCCCUCCUUUCUCUUUUUUUUUUGAUCUAGAGUCCAAUCAGAUAUCUCACAUUGCAUUUAUGUAAUGUAAUACUCAACUCUCCUCUAAUCUGGAACAGUCACUAACGCCAUUACCCCCAACCCCUGGCAACCACUGAUCUUUUUACUGCUUCCAUUGUUUUGACUGUCCUAGACUGUCAUAUAGUCAGAAGCAUACAGUAUGUAGCUUUUACAGGUUGGCUUCUUUCACUUAGUAAAUAUGUACUUAAGGUUCCUGCAUGUCUUUUUGUGGCUUGAUAUUUCAUUUUUUAAAAACACUGAAUAAUAGUCUAUUAACUGGAUGUACCACAAUUUAUUUAUCUAUUCACCUACUGAAGGACAUCUUGGUUGCUUCCAAGUUUUGACAAUUAUGAAUAAAGCUGCUACAAACAUCUGUGUGCCUACUCUUGUGUGGAAAUAGGUUUUCAAAUUUUUUGAUUAAUUUUGAGUGCAAUGACAGGAUCAUAUAAUAAGAGUAUAUUUAGUUUUGUAAGACACCUUCAAACUGUCUUCCAAAGUGGCUGUACCAUUUUGCAUUCUCAGUAUCAAUGAAUGAGAGUCCCUGUUUCCCCACAUCCUCACCAGCAUUUGGCGUUCUUAGUGUUCUGGAUUUUGGCCAUGCUAAUAGAUUUAUAGUGGUAUCUCAUUGUUGUUCUAAUUUUCAUCUACUUGAUGACUUAUAAUGUUGAGCAUUUUUUCAUAUGCUUAUCUGUCAUCUAUAUAUCUUCUUUGGCGAGGUGUCCGUUAAGGUCUUUGGCCCUUUAAUUGG